rfam:Lactobacillus similis DSM 23365 = JCM 2765 strain DSM 23365 NODE_347, whole genome shotgun sequence.
AAAUGUAAGUAGAAGCACCCGCUUCUCGCCUUGUGGCUAACGCUGCUGGGCUGAUACGUAAAUAAACCGAACUUUUUAGUUCGGAUAUUUAACGGGUGCGCUGUUAGCACCCGUUUUUUAUUUAGGUG